rnacentral:rRNA from 1 species
CACGUAGGGCGCGAGCGUUGUCCGGAAUUAUUGGGCGUAAAGAGCUCGUAGGCGGCCUGUUGCGUCCGCUGUGAAAGCCCGGGGCUUAACCCCGGGUCGGCAGUGGAUACGGGCAGGCUAGAGGUAGGUAGGGGAGACUGGAAUUCCUGGUGUAGCGGUGGAAUGCGCAGAUAUCAGGAGGAACACCGGUGGCGAAGGCGGGUCUCUGGGCCGUUACUGACGCUGAGGAGCGAAAGCGUGGGGAGCGAACAGG